UACAGAGGUGGCAAGCGUUGUUCGGAAUCACUGGGCGUAAAGCACACGUAGGCGGAUUCCUAAGUCGGGGGUGAAAUCCUGGAGCUCAACUCCAGAACUGCCUUCGAUACUGGGAAUCUUGAGUCCGGAAGAGGUGAGUGGAACUGCGAGUGUAGAGGUGAAAUUCGUAGAUAUUCGCAAGAACACCAGUGGCGAAGGCGGCUCACUGGCCCGGUACUGACGCUGAGGUGCGAAAGCGUGGGGAGCAAACAGG
rnacentral:rRNA from 1 species